rnacentral:rRNA from 1 species
UUGCCAGGCAAUGACCGCGUGUGUGAUGAAGGCCCUAGGGUUGUAAAGCACUUUCAACGGUGAAGAUGAUGACGGUAGCCGUAGAAGAAGCCCCGGCUAACUUCGUGCCAGCAGCCGCGGUAAUACGAAGGGGGCGAGCGUUAUUCGGAAUUAUUGGGCGUAAAGGGCUCGCAGGCUGCUUGAACAGUUAGACGUGAAAUCCCCGGGCUCAACCUGGGAACUGCGUUUAAUACUAGCAAGCUAGAGAAAUAGAGAGGAAAGUGGAACUCCCAGUGUAGAGGUGAAAUUCGUAGAUAUUGGGAAGAACACCAGUGGCGAAAGCGACUUUCUGGCUAUUUUCUGACGCUGAGGAGCGAAAGCGUGGGGAGCAAACAGGAUUAGAUACCCUGGUAGUCCACGCCGUAAACGAUGUGUGCUAGAUGUUGGAAGGUUACCUUUCAGUGUCGCAGCUAACGCACUAAGCACACCGCCUGGGAAGUACGGUCGCAAGAUUAAAACUCAAAGGAAUUGACGGGUU